AUCACUCAUCAAAAAAAUAUUUUUUCAUUCUUCUUGUCAUCGUUGUUGUCUUUAAUCGUUCAAAGUGGUAUUGUUCUUGCUGCGGGGACUGUUUACCGGCGUACACAUCUCAUAGGAAGCAGCGAACUAGACGUUGUGCGGUGGUAGACUCGGAUAACGCCACAACUCAUGACCCUCCCCCAGCCUACAGAGUUGACAGGAAGGGGCAUCAUCAUCACAGCGCCCAGCACGUAAUUUAUGGGAAAGCAUUGCCUCCCCUAACAAGAAAGGAAACACACAUUGUUGUGGUAACCAACGGCCAAAAACAACCCAAAUAACGCUAGCCGGACACACAACCCUCGAACACACACACUAUGUCGAUCCCUCGCCCACGGGGACCUUGAAGUCGACCCGUUGACGCUUUUAUUUUUUAGAGUCCGGGGGACCUUUUUUAAUUUUUUUCCCGUGGCGGGGGGACGAUGGGGAACACGGCCACCAAGUUCCGCAAGGCGCUGGUCAACGGCGACGAGCUGCUGUCCUGCCAGCUGUACGAGGGCAACCCCCAGUUCAAGGAGGCGAUGGACCCCAACACCAGCUACGGAGAACCCUACCAGCACAACACGGCGCUGCACUACGCAGCACGCCACGCCAUGACGCGCCUGCUCAGGUCCUUCAUCUUCAGCAAGGACGGCAACCCCAACAAGCGCAACGUCCACAACGAGACGGCCCUGCACCUGCUGUGCAUGGGGCCCCACAUCCUGGGCGGCGAGGGGCCCCUGCACCCCCGCAUCACGCGGCCGUACGAGGACGAGCGCCGGCGCGCCGACUGCCUGCAGGUCAUCCUGGCGUGGACCGGCGCCAAGCUGGACCAGGGCGAGUACGAGAGCGCCGACAUCAACGCCACGGACAACCGCAAGAACACCUGCCUGCACUACGCCGCCGCCUCGGGCCUGAAGACCUGCGUGGAGUACCUGGUGCAGCGGGAGGCUGACCUGUUUGCGGAGAACGAGAGGCGGGAGACCCCGUGCGACUGUGCGGAGCAGCACCGCCACACGGAGCUGGCCCUCAGCCUGGAGUCCCAGAUGGUCUUCUCCCAGGCCCCCGAGGCCGAGGGCAUCGACGCCGAGUACGCCGCGCUGGACCACCGAGAGCUCUAUGAGGGCCUGCAGCCUCAGGACCUGCGGCGACUGAAGGACAUGCUGAUUGUGGAGACGGCAGACAUGCUGCAGGCCCCCCUGUUCACCGCCGAGGCCCUGCUCCGAGCCCACGACUGGGACAGAGAGAAGCUUCUGGAGGCCUGGAUGACCAACGCCGAGGCCUGCUGCCAGCGCUCCGGGGUGCAGAUGCCCAACCCGCCGCCCACCGGCUGCAACGCCUGGGACACCCUGCCCUCGCCGCGGACGCCGCGCGCCGCCCGCUGCUCCAUCCCCACCACCCCCGACCAGAUCUGCCUCGCCCCGGCCGACGAGGACCCCGCUCUGUGUGGCAUCUGCAUGUGCUCUAUGUCGCUGUUUGAGGAGCCCGUCGACAUGUCCUGCGGCCACGAGUUCUGCCGAGUCUGCUGGGAAGGGUUCCUCAACCUGAAGAUCCAGGAGGGCGACGCCCACAACAUCUUCUGCCCCGCCUUCGACUGCUUCCAGCUGGUUCCCGUGGAGGUCAUCGAGAGCGUGGUGUCCCGGGAGAUGGACCGGCGCUACCUCCAGUUUGACAUCAAGGCCUUCGUGGAGAACAACCCGGCCAUCCGCUGGUGUCCGCGGGCGGGCUGCGAGAGGGCCGUGCGCCUCAACUCCCAGGAGACCCGGGGGUCCUCCGCCAACCCGCUCAGCUUUGCCCUGCUCCGGGCCCCCGCUGUGGACUGCGGCAAGGCCCACCUGUUCUGUUGGGAGUGUCAAGGAGAAGCCCAUGAACCCUGUGACUGUGACGUCUGGAAGCUGUGGCUGCAGAAAGUGAGCGAGAUGCGGCCGCAGGAGCUGGGCGGGGUGAGCGAGGCCUACGAGGACGCGGCCAACAGCCUGUGGAUGCUCACCAACUCCAAGGCCUGCGCCAGCUGCAAGUCGCCCAUCCAGAAGAACGAGGGCUGCAAUCACAUGCAGUGCGCCAAGUGCAAAUACGACUUCUGCUGGAUCUGCCUGGAGGAGUGGAAGAAGCACAGCUCGUCAACCGGCGGCUACUACCGCUGCACGCGCUACGAGGUCAUCCAGCAGGUGGAGGAGCAGUCCAAGGACAUGACGGUGGAGGCGGAGAAAAAGCACAAGAGCUUCCAGGAGCUGGAUCGGUUCAUGCACUACUUCACCCGCUUCAAGAACCACGAGCACAGCUACCAGCUGGAGCAUCGGCUGCUGAAGACGGCAAAGGACAAGAUGGAGCAGCUUAGCCGUGCGCUGUGUUCGAAAGAAGGCGGCCCCCCUGACACCACGUUCAUCGAGGCCGCGGUGCUGGAGCUCCUGAAGACCCGACGGAUCCUCAAGUGCUCCUACCCCUACGGCUUCUUCCUGGAGCCCCGCAGCACCAAGAAGGAGAUCUACGAGCUCAUGCAGACGGACCUGGAGAUGGUGACGGAGGACCUGGCCCAGAAGGUCAACCGGCCGUACCUGCGCACGCCGCGCCACAAGAUCCUCCGGGCCGCCUGCCUGGUGCAGCAGAAGAGGCAGGAGUUCCUGGCCUCAGUGGCGAGGGGCGUGGCCCCCAACGACUCCCCCGAUGCCCCCAGACGCAGCAGCUUCGCUGGCGGGACCUGGGACUGGGAGUAUUUGGGCUUUGCAUCACCCGAGGAGUACGCCGAGUUCCAGUACAGACGGAGACACCGGCAGAGGAGACGAGGAGACAUGGGCAGUCUGCGCAGCAACAGCCCAGACGGAGAGGACCCCGCGGACCCCGGUUUAGGUGGUCCGGAAGGGCAUGGACAAAGGCGUCGGCUGGCGGACCACGGCUCCUUGGACGACGAGGACCCCAACAUCCUGCUGGCCAUCCAGCUGUCCCUCCAGGACUCCGCCAUGCCAGGGGGCUGGGCCAACCCGCCGGCCCCGGCCCACGAGGCCUCCCUGGGGGCCAUCGGCACCUCGCUGCCCUCCCGGCUGGAGCAGAGCGCCCGGGGCCUGGAGGUCCUCCCCCGGUCCUCCCUCAGCAGCUCGGAGCUGCUGGAGCUGGCCAGCGUCAACAUCAGCCCCAGCCAGUACUCUGCCGUGGCGGUGUCCUCCAGCCAGCACCACCACCACCACCACCACCACCACCACCAGCAUCCGCCACAGCAGCGGCGUUUCAGCGGCUCGCUGCCCUUCCCCGCGGCCGCCCGUGGGGGCGGCGGCGGCGGCGGAUGUGGAGGCUCGUCUACGGGCCUCUUCUCCCUGUCCAGCGACACCCUGGACUCCACCACCUGCGGCAGCCACGACCCGUCCUCGGCGGCGGCGGCGGAGGCGGCGAACGCCAACCUGCUGGGCAACAUCAUGGCGUGGUUCCACGACGCCGACCGGCCCGGCGUGGCGCUGGAGUCCUCCGCCUCCUCCGACACGGACGUGGACGCGCUCCUUCCCCACGCCGCUGGAGGAGGAGGAGGAAGAGGGGGAGGGGAAGGGUACCUGGAGGUGAAGAGGACAGCCUCCGCCCCCCUCUCGGACGACGCCAAGCUCCAGGAAGGGGAGGAGCGGCGGGGGGUUAGCGGCGGCGUUCCCGGGAGACAGACGCACUCCGAGAGGGACGCCACCGCCCCUGCCGCCGCCGCCGCCGCCGCCGCCGCCAUCGCCACGGUAACCGCCGCCGUGGAGAGGCCCACCCAGCUGGACCUGAAGGGGCGGGAGACGUCGUCGUCGGGGGAGACCUUCGACGUGACGGACGCGGGCAGGGACAGGACGUGCCACGUGGACACGCCGCAGUGCUCCUCGACCUCCGACCCGCUGGCCAGCAGCAGCUCCUCGGAGUGGGAGGAGCAGAUCCACACCGUGUGACCCACGGAGGAGGAGGAGGAGGAGGAGGUCGCGAGAGGAAGAGGAGGGCUUGUUAUGUGGAGAAGGCCCGGAUAAAUAAGCAGGGGGAAAUAGAGGAAAGGAAGGCAGUGGGUGUUGGCGGGUUGACUGGGUCGGGGACUAAGACUGGGGAAUGUGUUACAGGUCGCCAUCUUCUGAGUCCCUUCUCAUCUUCAUGAGUCGUAGUUCUCCUAGCGGUAGUUCACAGAGGUUGGCUGCGGUGGAAUUAGUGGCUUGCACUCACCUUCUGCUAGACCCAUCGGUUCCUGUAAUGGGCGUGAUUGGGCAGCCCGCUACUCAGUGCUAUCUGUCUGGGUGGGUGGUGGGCAUGAUUCCCUACGGUAAGCACUCACUGAACCAAUAACUGAACCAAUAGAUUUUCGAGGCCACGUGUUAAUGUAACGUCGAUUGAGUGCUUGUGUAAAUGAGUCGCGUCUCUGGAUUCUGUGCUAGAGUGACGUAAGAAUAUUUCUACGUCUUCUGUUACCUUUUCUUUUUUUUCUUCCACUGGAGUUAAAGCCUACUGUAGUUUUCGGGAUGAGUUUGAAACUUAAUUAGAGCGCAUAGAUUUAUUUACAUGUUAUUUGACUGGGUAUCUCGCCGUCUGUGUAACGCUAUUCACUCCUCUCCUUAUCAGCCUUCCGGUAAAUGGGUGCCAAACACUGACUAGCAAGAGCGCAGUUUGUCGUCACCAAGUGGAUUAUUCAAAGCAAAUUGUGCCUCUUUGCAUUUUUGUUGACCCGACAAACUGAGAGUCAUGAAAUGGGAUCUCGGUUUGAGAGCCCAGUCUUUCAGAUAUGAUUAUUAUCAUUAUUAUUAUUAUGAGUGCAUCCUUUAAGAUGUUAAAAGGGGGUUGUCUUUGAAGUAACUAUACAUAAAUAUUAUCCAUAGCGCAAUUUCUACUAUAAAUAGUAGGUGAGCUGCUAAGACAACAAGUCGCCUACGGUUUCAUUCAAUGGAAUUAUAAGUGUAUACUUAUUUAGUACAUGUCCUUAUUUUGAAAGAAAUGGCUCAAAAAGGAAUUGCAAUCUUGCUUAUUGUGAACUAAAGAAAGAAUAUACUGUAUGUUCUGAAUCUGCAGCAAUCUCACACGGCUUAACUUGCAGAAGAUAGACAUUGUAACCAAGCCACUGAGAUGGUAUGUAGUGGGUGACCUUGAGCUCUGUGACUUAGUUAAUCAGGCCUGAGUCAUUUGUAUUUGUCCUCAGCAACAUGGUGCCCGGCUAAAGCUUUGGCUGAGCCAAUUCCAAGUAACAUCUGGAGCCUUCAGAAGAACGGUUUCCGACGCAUUCUCUCACAGUGCCUUCCUAUAUCGAAACGUAUUAUUAUAAUUAUUAUUCUGUUGACGCACUUCUUAAGAGUGUUACUGAGCAGUAUUCACAAACCAUAUAGAAAUAUAUAAUUUAUAAUAUACAUAGUAUAAAACGGUGUAUAAAAUAAGUAAUGUUCACCUUAAAUUUGACUUCCCUCACACUUGGCAAUGUAUGUGCCCCAACAAAGUAUAUCUAAUUUAAAUGACUUGAUAUUUUAACGGCCUUUCUGAAAAUACUUAAUUGGAUCCCUGGUGACGAGAGUUCAUUGUUUUUUAUUCAGGAAGUACAUAAUGUUUAUAUUGAAGUACAUUUUGGCUUGGUUUAUGUCUCCCCUCGGCUUUUUGUGCUGAUCUGAAAUGGUUGACCUGGGUUAUUUUGGAAGUAGACGUGAAAGUAAAGACUUGAUGCGUAAACUCAAGAGGGUUGACUCGGUGAACAAGAGCACUGCGACAAUUGACUACCUAUCGCCUCCACCACAAGAUGAAGGAACACCCUUCAAAGCAGCAAUUUAUGUCGAAGCAAAGACCAGGCGCCGCGUCUGAGACGAGAAAAACAACGCGACGCAGCGAGUCGAAACGGUUCGCAAGCUGAAACGGUGUAAUUUGCUCCCAUGUACAGUAGAUGUGUCACAGCCGAGGGGCGUAAAUAGGGUUCGUUAUCUGGAAAUGAAGUCCCCGCUAAUGGAGUGUUUGUUCUGGGGGACCUCCGCGGCGCCCGAACGUAGCAGUGGAUCUUAAUGUGUUGAUGGCUUUGAAACGCGUCUUUGAAGAUGUAUAGCACGCGCGCGCUACGACGCGGUGAGUCAUUAGUCGACGACGGUGCGGUGUGGUAAUGAGUGUGGUUGCAAAGUGUUCCCCCCACUCCUAUUUCUUCUCCACUGUGUGUGUGUGUGUGCGUGUGUGUAAAAGGGCACGAGUCCUCCUUAAGGAUUGUGUGUUCUCCUGUGUAUUGCACUUCCGAUUGUUCAGGUGAUUAUGAUUUUAAAACUGACAAAACUUUUUGUAACACAUUAAGAUUUUUCUAUUGUAAAGUAACUAAUCCUUGAGAUGCCGUUUGCACUUUCAUAGUUUAUACUUGAUACAUUCCCUCUUUAUAUGAAAGGAAAAAAAAAGUGUGCUGAUGCCAAUAAAAUGAGUUGAGUUUUAUUGAAGGUGGUGUUUUUUUUUCCGAGAAUUAACAUAGGAACGGAUGAUGAAUAUUUCUAUCCUCAUACAUUUGCAUUAAAGUAAGGGUAUGUCACUUUAGCUCCUAUGCAAUUGUAUUAGAAAGUCAUUAAAAGUCUGUGAUACACAUAAUGGUAAUUCAAGAGCCCCUCAGCUGUCUUCCAGGGGAAAGAGUUGUUCCCUAAUGCGGACAGCCCCUUUUCGGCUAAUGAGCCUUGGUCAAACCGUUCUGCUGUAGUGCAGCGGAAUACAUUUUGUUUCUACCAAGAGCAGCCUUUAAACCAACUAAGCAGAAAUAUCUGCAAUUAAGCAGGGGGAUAUCUGGGUGGAAAGGCCUACCUGUCCAACAGAACCGUCAGUCAGGGAGAGACACAACAUUUCUGGAGGGUGAGGGAUUGAUGGCCCUCUGAGUUUGGAGGGAUCGUAUUGGGAAAAUGCAUUGAAAUCCCAGAUGCAGGGUUUCCAUGUACAGAAGGGUAGAGGAAGGGGAGGGCUGCUUGGCAGGCAAACAGACAAUAACGGCUUUUGCACAUAACAAAAAUAACAGCAAAUUGUAAGAACAGUAUGCAAUAUUUACAUCCAUUUCCCCUCUUGACAACCGUGUAAUGCAUUUUGAAUAAUUGUUCCCACACCCGGCUUUUCAACCAACUAUUAGCCAUAAGUGUUCCUGGGAAUUAAUAUAUAGAAAGACAGACACCUCAGUGCAGAACACAUUAAAGCCAUACCAUCAAAUCACGUAAGAAACCCUACCAUUAAACCCGACGGACAGGGAAAAGUGCCAUUGAAGGGAAAACCAGCGUCAGUGCAUUGCUCGUCGUUAAACACAAAAGUGCGAUAAACUGGGAUAAAUCUGUUUACGGCGAGAUUGAUUAAAGAUGGCCGUGCCUUCACUUAACACGCAUCAUUCAAACCCAGGUCUCGACAGAGGCUCAGCGGCACAGGCCGAUGAGCUGCAGCAGUAGCAGGAACAGGGUUAUGAUGUCCAGGUACAGGUUGAGGGCGGCGAAAAUGUACUCCUCGGGUGAGAUCGAGUACUUCCGGUUCUUCCCUCCCACCAUCUGCUGGGUGUCCACCACCAAGUACUGGCACACGGGGAGAGACAUAGACAAGGAUUCAGGGGUAGACAGCUCUACAUAACUGGUGCAGUAUCCCUGCGCAGCUUGUUGAGCUCUGCGUGCGGCCGUCACCACACAGGUCAGCAGAACGAAAGCCUGGAUCACCACAUCCGCUGUCGAGGCCAACAG